rnacentral:rRNA from 1 species
AAUCAACGCUGGCGGCGUGCCUCAGACAUGCAAGUCGAACGAUUAAAGCUCUCUUCGGAGGGUGUAUAGAGUGGCGCACGGGUGAGUAACACGUAAGUAAUCUACCUUCGAGUGGGGAAUAACGUCCGGAAACGGACGCUAAUACCGCAUAAUGCAGCGGCAUCGCAAGAUGACAGUUGUUAAAGAUUUAUCGCUUGAAGAGGAGCUUGCGGCAGAUUAGCUAGUUGGUAAGGUAAUGGCUUACCAAGGCUACGAUCUGUAACCGGUCUAAGAGGACGGUCGGUCACACUGACACUGAAUAACGGGUCAGACUCCUAC